CAGCGGCAGCAGCAGCUGCAGCAGCUGCAGAGAGGAGCGCUCAGUCGGAGCGCAGAUCUGGCCGCAAACAGACGGAACUCUUUAAAGCUCUUCUGGCUUCUGUUGGAUUCCCACAAAGCUGCACAGAAGACCGAAAGCUUUUAUUUAACAUUGGCACCUGAGUUCAUCCAUGGGAAUCAUGUUGACAGCCGCAGCCUUGAAACUCUACGCCAUUGGAACGGCAUUUUAUGUACUUGUACUUUUUUAUGGGAUCGCAGACUCUUUCGGGGCGCUCAUGUAUCCCCAGAACCACCACUACAUCCACGGACUGGACCAACAGACACAGAGGCAGAUCCCCUCCAGGACCCACCUACAAGGACCGUCUGUGAUGAGAAGGAUUGGCUCAUAGAGACUUAUUAAUGCUGGACAAGUUUGGAUCUUUUCUUCAUUUUAAAGAGAUUGUUGAUUGUAUGUUUCUUCAGCCACUGUAAAGAAAAAUGUGCAGCUAUUUUACAGAGAAGUUACAAAGCUAUAGCAGCACUACUGAACAAAUAGCACUAAAACUAGAAUAUUUUUGUAGCUGUUUCUGAAAUAAAAUGUUUUUUAAUUUUUGUUUA